rnacentral:rRNA from 1 species
UACGUAGGAGACGAGCGUUGUCCGGAAUCACUGGGCGUAAAGCGCGUGUAGGCGGAUGAGCAAGUCUGCUGUGAAAGCUCCUGGCUUAACCGGGAGUGGUCGGUGGAAACUGCUCGUCUGGAGGACGGUAGAGGCUGGUGGAAUUCCCGGUGUAGUGGUGAAAUGCGUAGAUAUCGGGAGGAACACCAGUGGCGAAGGCGACUACCUGGCCUGUUCUUGACGCUGAGGCGCGAAAGCUAGGGGAGCAAACGGG